CCAAACUUCAUUAUACUUAUCUCUAGAUAUCUUGUUUAAGGCUAUGCCAGCUUCCAUGCUACGUUGGUAUUCUAUCUGCGUACAAAUAUCGAGCCAAUUUAACGCACCCAUUUUCCUCCAAUUUCUAGCCAUGACUAUUUUUAUAGCCAUACAAAUAUGGAUCAUAAGGAUUUUUAGUUUUAUAUUACUUUUUGGCAGGUCUAAAUGAAACAAAAACAUUUGAGGCGUAAUCACAGUCUGAGUCCCAAACACAAAAUCCGUCAAUUCCGCUAAAAUUAAUUUCAUAGGUUUCAACUCCUCACAGUCCCACCAGAUGUGGGAGAAUGAACCCAAC